rnacentral:rRNA from 1 species
CCGCGGUAUUUUGACCGUGCAAAGGUAGCAUAAUCAUUAGUUUAUUAAUUAUAGGCUGGAAUGAAUGGUUUGACGAAAAAUCAACUGUCUCUUAAUAAAUUUUAGAAUUUAACUUUUAAGUUAAAAGGCUUAAAUUUUUUUUUAGGACGAGAAGACCCUAUAGAGCUUGACAUUUAAGUUAUAUUUAUAUAUAAGAUUAUCUUUUUAUAUUUAAUGAAAAUGUUUUGUUGGGGUGACAUGAAGAAUUAAAAAACUCUUCAUUAUUAAUUCAUUAAUUUAUGUUUAUUUUGAUCCAUUAUUUAUGAUCAUAAGAUUAAGUUACCUUAGGGAUAACAGCGUAAUUGUUUUUGAGAGCUCAUAUCGACAAAGCAGAUUGCGACCUCGAUGUUGGAUUAAGAAAAGUUUUGGGUGCAGUAACCCAAUAAUUAGGUCUGUUCGACCUUUAAA